CUCCGUGAAGAGGAAACAGAGCUUCUGGAUGACAAAGAAGGGGCUCUCUGGCUCUUGUUUGCAGCCUUUGACGUUGGUUUCUCCUGAAAUAUGAUGUGCUGGCUUGUCUUUGUCCUGAGGAAAAAGUGCCAAAGUUUAGCUACUUGAAGAUGGGAGUGCAAUAACAUUGAAGCAUGGGUUUCAGAGAAUUUUCAGAGAUGGUUUAAAAGAGAAUGAAGGAGACAGGCUUGAAAGUUAAAGGGGAGAUGCAGUAAACCCCACAUCGUAAUCUUCUAGCUAUUUGCAGGGAGGUAAGUGUUCAUGAAACAUUGAAGAUUUAUGUCUCUUAUGCAAAAUGGAAAAAUAGUAAAUGUUUAAAGAUUCCAAUGCUUUAAAACAUUCAAUAGUGUCGGUCCCCCGAAACAAUGAUUUGAGUACUUCCCGGACAGAGAAGAUAAAACUGAUUAUACGGUGUUCUAAACUAAUCAAUGGCUAUUACACAUAAUGAGCAUGCAUUUACUACGAAAACUCCCGAGAGAUUUCGAUUAGUUGAUGAUUAGUUUAGUAAUGUACAUUGGAUGAUUCUUCAGUUCACAAGAAGAGAUUAGAAUGGUUCAAAUGCCGAGGAACCAGUGUGACUGCAGAGCUUUGAUGUUUCAUUGGUAAAUUCUGAGCAGAAGAAAGAUGGGUAUUAUUCUUUUCUCUUUCUUUCUAUGACAAUGCGUUUGCAGAUUGCUAAUCAGCAUAUAUGAAGGUAUGUUUCGCCAUUUCUUCAUCUAUACAUACACUCAGAGCGCAUAUCAAAAUAUUAUAUAUGCAAGAUGUUUUCCAUUCCCAUCUUGUAGUGGUCUAGUGGUUAUAGUCUUAGUAGUAUAAACGGUUUGGGAACCACUUGCCCUAGAAGUCCCAUGUUCGAUUCCAUAGAUGGAGAGGAGGGGCAAUUUAAUUAUUCUAAAGGCUGACUAUGGAUCUAACGGAUUAGUUGGGCCGAAAACCCAGUAAAUGUACUGGCUAUCCAAAAAAAAAAGAAAUAUCUCAUAUGAAUAAUUCUGAACCAUUU